UACGUAGGGUGCGAGCGUUGUCCGGAAUUACUGGGCGUAAAGAGCUCGUAGGUGGUUUGUCGCGUUGUCCGUGAAAACUCACAACUCAAUUGUGGGCGUGCGGGCGAUACGGGCAGACGUGGAGUACUGCAGGGGAGACUGGAAUUCCUGGUGUAGCGGUGAAUGCGCAGAUAUCAGGAGGAACACCGGUGGCGAAGGCGGGUCUCUGG
rnacentral:rRNA from 1 species